rnacentral:tRNA from 1 species
GUGGGGAUGUGGCCCAAGUGGUAGCGUGCCCGCCUGACAUGCGCGAGGCACUGGGUUUGAUCCUCAACACCACA